CCAAUAGCGUAUAUUAAAGUUGUUGCAGUUAAAAAGCUCGUAGUUGAACUUCGGGGUUCACCCAUUGGUCAGGCUUAAUUGUCUGCACUGGUGAGAUGAGUCUCUACCUUCUGAGGAACUUUCAUGCCAUUUAUUUGGUGUGGUUGGAAAUCAGGACUGUUACUUUGAAAAAAUUAGAGUGUUUAAAGCAGGCUAACGUCUGAAUACAUUAGCAUGGAAUAAUGAAAUAGGACGGACUGAUUCUAUUUCGUUGGUUUCUAGGAUCACCGUAAUGAUUAAUAGGGAUAGUUGGGGGGAUUAAUAUUCAAUUGUCCAAGGUGAAAUUCUUGGAUUUUUUGAAGGCUAACUACUGCGAAAGCCUUUGCCAAGGAUGUUUUCAUUAAUCAAGAACGAAAGUUAGGGGAUCGAAGACGAUCAGAUACCGUCGUAGUCUUAACCAUAAACUAUGCCGACUAGGGAUCGGACGAAGUUAAUUUUAUAAUGACGCGUUCGGCACCUUACG
rnacentral:rRNA from 1 species